UUUUGUCAUGUCUGAUUUUUCAUUUUCAGAAAGUACAUUUAGGAAACUGGCCAACAAGCAGCCAGCUGGACCUCAACAAGUACAAUCUUUCAGAGAGGAUGGAGCAGGCCAGUUUCCUUGAAGUUGUGGACAGGCAGAUGAAGACUUUGGCAGAGUACCCUGAGGUGCAGGCUAAAAAGACAGAUAAUUUCCCUGUUGCUCUGGACCUACAGAACUCCUAUCAUGCUUUAAAUGAGCCAGAGCAUACCACAGUUGUCUUCUCAAGUCAGACUGCUGGUCAUUCCUUUCCUGUUUCAAGGAGAAACAAUGCUGAUGAAAAUAUUGCUUCCCAGACAGCAAUCCCUUGCUUUGCUUUCAAUGGUCCAUACUUGUACAGCCCAGUGUUGUCCUCCCAGCCUGAUAUGCACCAGACCCUGGAAGUGGACCCAGCGGGAGCCCGUGAGAAAUCAGUUUCCCUUCAGUAUGUUACCCUCCCAAAGGAAGACUGCCCCCAGGCUCCACAGGGGCAAGAACAAGGAGGAGCAGGCCCUCCACAGCCCUUCCUGCUCCCAGCUCAGAAGGAAAAGAUGCAGCACCUUGACGAUGAGAAAGAAGUCUCACUGGCCCCAUCAGCCUGCAGGAAAGACAUGAACAUGAGAACAGAAGAGCAAAAAUCUCCAAAGGCUUUUAGCUGUCUCGCAUCUCCUCAGCAGUGCCCCUUGGAGUACAUCACCACAGAGAGCCUGUUUCUGCCAUCAGCCAGUGACUCCAUGCAUCCACCACUUGUCACUGCUGGGGAGUUACCUUGUGACCCACAGGAGCCCCAGCCCCCCAGCGACCACUCUUGCCAUGAGUUUUCUCCUGAGAAAACUGCUGUCAAUGUCUCCAUUUCAGGUCAAGCACCAACCUCUUCUCCUGAAUUGCACCUGGAUACAUUUGGAGACUAUCUUACUGUCCCUUUAGGUAUCCACAGACAUUCAGAACCCACAAAGAUUUCUUUGCCUGUCUUACAGAAGGGAAAUGAUCUUCCUGGAAAGCAACCUUUGUCAGAGGGUAACUUGGUGGUGUUAAACCCUGACAGUAGUGAGCCAGUUUUCCUUUGCCAGGUUGGUGACUAUUGCUUCCACAGCCUAAAAUCCAGUGUAAAGUUGGAUAUUAAUCAGGAAGACCAGCAAGUCAAGAAACCUUCUGAAGGAGAGACAUCACUUGGGAAUCCUGUAUCUGAUAGUAAAACCAUCACUGGCAAGGAGAAGGAUGAAUCAAAAAUGCAGGCUAUUCAGCUUUUCAAAAACCUGAAAUCAAAUGAUUACUUUUCCUGGCAGCAGUCUUUGAGGAUCACAGAAAUCUGUUAAAUGGGCAAAUAUUAAUGAAUACCAAAGCUAAAGGUAACUGAAAGAGCUUGCAACUCUGUCGAAAAUGAAUGCUCAAACCUAGGAACAAAUAAAACCCAGUUCCCUUUUUCA
rnacentral:lncRNA from 1 species